rnacentral:lncRNA from 1 species
GUUUACUGAGACACAAGGAAAUAGCUCCAAGGGUGACAUCCAUCACAUUCACGCAGCGACUUGCAACAGUUUGCUCUAAACCACACUCUGUGAGUAAGCGCUGCAGGUGGAGAUCAAAGCACACCUCAGUGGGUUCUGGGUCAUGCACAGCCACAAAUCUGAGAGGGGAAGAGGUCUUCCCAACAUUUACAGGUAAGAGUUUCUUAUGUACUUUUCACAGACUUCCUCUAAACCCUGCCAAACUCUGCCAACACAUGCUUUAGGUAUGAAUAAAAGCCUCAGCCAAGAGUGUUUCUAUCUCUAG